rnacentral:rRNA from 1 species
GGGUGAGUAACGCGUAGGAAUCUGCCUGAUAGUGGGGGACAACCUGGUGAAAACCAGGUUAAUACCGCAUACGCCCUACGGGGGAAAGCGGGGGAUCUUCGGACCUCGCGCUAUCAGAUGAGCCUGCGUCGGAUUAGCUAGUUGGUAAGGUAACGGCUUACCAAGGCGACGAUCCGUAGCUGGUCUGAGAGGACGAUCAGCCACACUGGGACUGAGACACGGCCCAGACUCCUACGGGAGGCAGCAGCAGGGAAUAUUGCACAAUGGGCGAAAGCCUGAUGCAGCGACACCGCGUGCGGGAUGAAGGCCUUCGGGUUGUAAACCGCUUUCAGGAGGGACGAAAAUGACGGUACCUCCAGAAGAAGGCCCGGCCAACUACGUGCCAGCAGCCGCGGUAAUACGUAGGGGCCAAACGUUGUCCGGAUUUAUUGGGCGUAAAGGGCUCGUAGGCGGUUCAACAAGUCGAUCGUGAAAACCCGGGGCUCAACCCCGGGACGCCGGUCGAAACUGUUGUGACUAGAGUUCGGUAGAGGUGAGUGGAAUUCUCGGUGUAGCGGUGGAAUGCGCAGAUAUCGAGAGGAACACCAGUAGCGAAGGCGGCUCACUGGGCCGAAACUGACGCUAAGGAGCGAAAGCAUGGGGAGCAAACAGGAUUAGAUACCCUGGUAGUCCAUGCCGUAAACGAUGAACACUA